GAAUGCUAAUAUUACCAUAUUGUAAAGUCCAGCACUGGCUGUGACGAUAAGAGACUUGCAAUAACUUGCAAUGUUCCAGCUUAUAGGAAGUGGGACCAGGCCAGUUCAUCAAAAAACCUCAUGACAAUAACCUUUAAUACCAGGUGAAGGAGGAGCAAAUACAGGACCCUUGGGGAAGGAAGAGUGCUACCUUCAGCCUUACAAACACCACAUCCAGCAGCAUCUAGGUGCACCUUGGAGAUUGCCUACCCAAACUAUUGACCUGACCCAACCCAAUUUAGCUUGUCAGAUCUCAGAGGACAACAAUACAGAUGAAUGGGUAGAGGUCAAGUGUAUGCAUGUAGGCAGAAUGGGAUGGUAUGUGGAGUAUGUGAAGAUGGAAACGAAGAUCUUCCAAAGCUAAGGCCAUAUCAAGUUCUCCCAGAGAAAAGAACGUCAGGAGCAGAUGUGCAGGAAACUAGACAACUUUGUCUACCUGCAGAGCAGGCCAUCCAGUCCCCUAGACGUAUGCUACUCCAUAACCCACCUCCUUCUGUAGCCUUGCUGCUAGCGUUUCAAUGCCUUUGCCUAGCUCCUACCUUCACUUCAAGGAAGUCUGACAGCAUCAAACAGGAAACCAUUGAAAUUAAUGAUGACAGGAUCACCGUUAAUUCUUGCAGUACUACCCUACAGAAAGAUUCUGCAAAAUGAUGCCACAGAUAACUUCUUACUUCGUUACUCCAUUUAAGCCCAUUGGUUAUCUUCAAAAGUGUAAGAGAAAAAUAUACAUUUGGUGGAAGUCUGAUAACCUAGUAUCACUGGCAACAAUAAGGUCUCUCUGUACUGUGCUUGUGAAAUAUACUAAGGAUAUUCUGA